rnacentral:rRNA from 1 species
AUGGCGGAGUUCGCGCUUGGUUUAACCAAGACGGCGGUGGAGGGGACGGUGAGCAGGGUGAAGUCGGCGAUCGAUGAGGAGGCGAACCUCAAGGUCAGGGUGCAGAAUGAUCUGGUAUUCAUCACCGGGGAAUUCCAGAUGAUGCAAUCAUUCCUUAACAUCACCAACAAGGAGCGCACCAACAAUGAAGUGGUGAGGACAUGGGUGAGGCAGAUCCGUGACCUUGCCUUCGAUGUGGAGGACUGCGUCGAGCUUGUCGUCAGCCUCGACAUCAAGUCAGGCUGGUCCUGGUUCUGGCGCUUGCUGCCGGGCUGCAUGGCACCGCCCCGACUCCUCGAUGACGCAGUCGCCAACUUACAGCAGCUCAAGGCGAGGGUCGAGGAUGUCAGCAACAGGAACACCCGCUACAGCCUCAUUGGCGACUCUAGCACUGACUCCCAGAGUACUGCACGAGUAACUACCGUCUCAACAUCGCCGGCACCAGACCUUAUGCACAACACCGACCCAUCGUCCUCCGCAUUCCACAUCUUACGCGAGGUGUGGGAGGCCACGGGGAAGAUGCAACGAAACAUGAGCGAUCUCAAAGAGUUGAUCUCCAACGAAGGCAACGACCUUCAGGUGAUCUCGCUAUGGGGUAGCCCAGGAUCAGCUUCUGAUCUUGGGACAACGUCCAUUGUCAGGAAGGCGAACAACGAUCCAGAAAUCCGCCAACAAUUCAAAUGCCGUGCCUGGGUAAAGCUUAUGUGGCCUUUUAACCUUGACGAUUUCCUCAAGAGCUUGCUCACUCAGUUGUACGCCACCUCGUCUCACCGCCAAGCAAACUUGGAAACCUGCUUUCGGACAACAGAAGAGUACCAUCGCAUCAAGGCCGAGCUUAUGCAGCAGAUGAGCCAGGAGAGGUAUCUCAUCAUUGUGGAACAACUAUCCACCGUUAUAGAGUGGGAUGUCAUCAAACUGUAUCUGCCACACAGUAAAAAUGCCAGUCGGAUUGUCGUUACGACACAACAGUUGGAGCUUGCACUUUCCUGCACAGGGGAACCUUACCAAGUAUCGGAGCUCAGACAGUUCUCCAAUCGUCAAUGUCUCUGUGCCUUCUCUAACAAGGUUAGUGUUGUAGCAGAUGAGGCCGUUGACAGUAUUGACAAAGAGGCGAAAGAGCGACUGGCAAAGUUUUUGUCUUCAAACCUCAUUGAUUGGGGCGGACAGAAAACAUUAGAGGUUAGUGUUGUAGCAGAUGAGGCCGUUGACAGUAUUGACAAAGAGGCGAAAGAGCGACUGGCAAAGUUUUUGUCUUCAAACCUCAUUGAUUGGGGCGGACAGAAAACAUUAGAGGUUAGUGUUGUAGCAGAUGAGGCCGUUGACAGUAUUGACAAAGAGGCGAAAGAGCGACUGGCAAAGUUUUUGUCUUCAAACCUCAUUGAUUGGGACGGACAGAAAACAUUAGAGACUAAAUGGUACAAGCACGUGCACGAGAGGAGUCGCGUUUUAUCCAGUAGAAUGGUACAGGCACAUGACUGGAUCACCAAAUUUAAACUUACUGGGCGUUUGACUGAGAAGAGGAGCCUUGUCAGUGUUUUAUUGAAGCCAAGUCCUAGUGUGAUCGCUGUGUGGGGGGUGGCAGGGGUCGGAAAAUCAGCUCUAGUCAGACUCUUUUACUACAUGAAUAUCAUCGGUUUAAGGGAAAUGAAUCCAGUACAUUCGUUUGUUUCUAUGUUUGGUGACAGCUUCCUAGACCAAGUCACAAAGUACAGCUGGGUGGAUGUGCCCCAUCCGUUCAAUAUGACAGACUUGUCUAGACGUUUACUUUUGGAUUUUCAUUCAGAUGAUGCUGAGGCCAAAGAAACUGAAGCACGUGGUAUCAUGGAAGGUCAGGACCCAAUUCAAAGGUGUCGCAAACUUAUGCAUCAAGAUAGAUGCUUCGUUGUUAUUGAUGGCCUUCGAGCCAUGGAUGAUUGGGACUUCAUUAAAACAACCUUCUUAUCUGAGCCUAUUAAAGGUUGUGUAGUUGUCAUUACAAAUGACGAAACUAUUGCAACACAAUGUGUAGACAAAGAAGAUCAUGUGAUCAACGUUAAAGGCCUAGAAGCUUACACAUCGUUUCAGCUCUUCAGAGAGAUAGCUUGGGGCCAGAAUGAGCCGACUUCCAAUGAGGAGGAGCUUUCAAAGCUUAUCAUGGCCAAGUGUGGCGGGCUACCCAAAGUAAUAACAGCUAUAAGUGAGUACUGGCGCGUAGAGCGACAGAGAAGUAACGGCCAACAAAAUGAAUUAACAUUGAAGACUAUAAAUGCUAACUUCAUGGGCAUGCUGGAAGGUGACUCAAGAUUCCAUAGUUUAAGGGGUCUAUUUUCUUGGAUGCAGUCCUACUUUGAUGCUUGCCCCGAUUCGCUCAAGCCAUGCAUAUUCUAUCUAUCAGUCUUUCCUAUAGGCCACAAUAUUAGGCGAAAACGUUUGCUGAGGCGGUGGAUCGCCGAGGGUUACUCCAUGGACACACCUAGUUGUACCGCAGAAGAAAAUGGGGAAGAGUUCUUCUCCAAGCUUGUCAAGUUGAGCAUAAUCCAGCAGCAGGGGCAGAUGCGACAACACUCACCAAGCAAGGCGAAGAAGUGCCAAGUCAAUGGUUUUUUUCGUGAAUAUAUCAUAUCUCGGCCAAUGCAAGAUAACCUUGUGUUUGCACUCGAGGGGCGUUGCAUUCUCAACACGCAACGUGCUGGACAACACCUCACCAUAAGUAGAUGUUGGGACAGAGACAAGAUUCUAUUCGAGAGCCUGGAAUUGUCACGUCUACGGUCGUUGACAGUGUUUGGAAAGUGGAUGCCAUUUUUCAUGUCUGCCAACGUCAAUAUGAGAUUUCUUCGUGUGAUGGAUCUAGAGGACACGUCUGGUGUAGCAGAUGAUGACAUGGAACAGGUCGGGAAGCUACUGCCACACCUCAAGUUCCUCUCUGUACGAGGAUGCCAAGAUAUUACUCGUCUCCCAAAUUCAUUGGGUGGCUUAAGGCAGCUGCAAACUCUGGAUAUCAAAGGAACCUCCGUGAUUAUGUUUCCAGCUGUUAUCAUGAAGCUAGAGAAGCUGCAGUACCUUCGUGCUGGUCCCAUUCGUUGUACAUCAACAUCAUCAGAAGCGAACACAAGCGUGGUCCCAUUAGCAGGAUCACCAGUGGACGGCGAUGGUGAUGGCACGAACACAAGCCAAACAGAGCCGAAAGUAUCAGCAGAAACACCACCAACAGUUUGCUGUGAUGGCAUGAGCACAAGCCAACCACCAGCGGCAGCAUCAGAAGUAACAACACCACUGCCAGUGGACAGUGAUGGCACGAAAACAAGCCAAACACCUGCUGUAGAAUCAGCAACAUCAGCACCAGCACCAGCACCAUCACCAGCACUAGCGGACAAUGAGGGAGCAUAUGAGGCCACCACCAGCACAACCCAGCCACCAACGACAGCAACAGCAUAUGAGGCGGUGGAGACAACACCUUUGAUCUGCAGGCCACGUGGUGGCUUGGUAUUCAGCUGGUUGUCCAAAUUGCGUCAUAGGAGCAACGCACAUGAUGGAGUUCAGUUUUCAGUUGCUGCAGCAGGUGGAAUUGGGAAGUUUACGGCCUUACAUACCCUCGGUGUCGUCAAUAUUGGUGGUGCAGGUGGGAAGCACGUCCUCAGAGAGCUCAAGAAGCUUACCCAAUUGCGCAAGCUAAGAUUGUGCGGCAUCAACCAGAGAAACUGGCAGGAUUUUUGUUCUUUCAUCUCAGGAGAUGCCCAUCUGGAGUCUUUAUCGGUUCGACUCGAUCAGGAGGAGACCACAAGUGCUCCUCAAGUCUUUGGUUGUUUCAGUGACAUCUCCGAGCCUCCCAAGAUGCUAAAGACACUUAAAGUGUACGGGAAGAAGGCCCACAUAUCUCCAUUAUGGGUGAAGCAGCUUCACAAUCUCACAAAGGCUGAUCUUGCGUACACCAUAGCAACCCAAGAGGACAUAGACUGCCUGUUAGAUUUGCCCCGUCAAGAAAUCAUUCAAGAAAUCAUUCAACGUGUUUGUGUCAAGCCGAUUAAAGACGGCGAGCUCAAGUUUGGUGCGUUUGGCAGUUUCAGCAAUCUGCGCUAUGCCAUCAAAUUCAAGAAGCUGAAGAUUGAUUGCAGCUACAGGUCAAAGAUAGUAUUUGGACCACUGAUACCGUCGUAUGUUCGGGUUCUGGUGGUUCACUGCUCUUCUAUUACUGGGUCAUCAUUGGAGCUUUCUGGGCUAGAUAAAUUAAUGUGCCUCGAGGAAGUGCGGCUGAAGGGUUCCUACAGCGAAGCAGUCAAGCAACACUUGCAGCAGAAACUUGACGAGCUAGUGCCACUACUAAAUCAGAGAAGACCUGUCCUGAAGCUGGAGUAG